AUUGAACGCUGGCGGCAGGCCUAACACAUGCAAGUCGAACGAGUGGCGGACGGGUGAGUAAUGUCUGGGAAACUGCCCGAUGGAGGGGGAUAACUACUGGAAACGGUAGCUAAUACCGCAUACCAUCGGAUGUGCCCAGAUGGGAUUAGCUAGUCGGUGGGGUAAUGGAUAACCUAGGAGACGAGCCCUAGCUGGUCUGAGAGGAUGACCAGCCACACUGGAACUGAGACACGGUCCAGACGCCUACGGGAGGCAGAAGUGGGGAAUAUUGCACAAUGGGCGCAAGCCGGAUGCAGCCAUGCCGCGUGUAUGAAGAAGGCCUUCGGGUUGUAAAGUACUUUCAGCGAGGAGGCGUUACUCGCAGAAGAAGCACCGGCUAACUCCGUGCCAGCCGCCGCGGUAAUAC
rnacentral:rRNA from 1 species